UUUGGAUUACAUGGACGGUUUGUUUGUCUACCAAGGGUUUGUUAAAGGUUAAACAAAAGGCUUGUAUCUGCUGCCUAGGGUUUGUAAAAAGUUCAAUAGAACACCUGUAUAUGUACAUAGGGUUAGGGUAUUUUUGUCCGCCUUUCUUGCCGUGAACAUUUGUUUUCUGAUCUUUUGCAUCGCAGCUUCAAACAAUGAAAUUGUCAGGUGCGGCAACGGUGUAUCACAGAGUACGAUGGAAGGUUGAUGUCGAAUAUUGUGUCUAGAAUGGAUGGAAUUGGAAAGAUCGCUGGAGUGUGAAAGCAGCAAGGCAGAGGAAUAGAGUUGUUGAAGAUGACAGCAACAAUAAACAUUAUGGUUGUUUGCUUUUUCAAUGGCUUAGGCAAAACAACACUGGCCAUUGAUGAUGUUUUCAAAGGCUUUGGGAAAACAACUCUAGCAAUUGCUGGUGUUUAUGAAGGCUUUGGCAAGACAACAAUAGCCAUUGUUGUUGUAUUUGUAAGCUUCGGAAAAACAACUCUAGCAAUUGUUACAGUUUCUAGAGUCUUUGGGAAGACACCUUUAGCCAUUGUUAACAUAUUUAAAAGCUUUGGAAAGACAACUCUGGCAAUUGCUGGUGUUUCUAGAGGCUUUGGGAAGACAACACUAGCCGCGGUUGAUGUAUUUAAAGUUUUUGGAAAAACAACAUUAGCAAUUGAUUGUGUUUUUGGGAGCUUUGACAAGACAACACUAGCUAUUUUUGGUGUUUUCAGAAGCUUUGGCAAAACAAUGGCAACAAGUGUUGAUGUUUCAAUGGGGUUCUGCAAAACAGAGCAAGUUCUUUUCGGUGUUUGAAAAGGCUUUGGCAAAACAACACUAGCUAUUAUUGAUGUUCCUAGAGUUUUUGACAAAACAGCAUUAGUUUUUGUUUAGGUUUGUAUGGGCUUGAUAAAAACCACUUGUUACCAUUUGACUGCUAAAUUAAAUCUCAAAGACUACAAUUACACGGCUUGGUACA